UACGGGGGGGGCAAGCGUUGUUCGGAAUUACUGGGCGUAAAGGGCUCGUAGGCGGCCAACUAAGUCAUACGUGAAAUCCCUCGGCUUAACUGGGGAACUGCGUCUGAUACUGGUUGGCUUGAGUGCAGGAGAGGAACGCGGAAUUCCAGGUGUAGCGGUGAAAUGCGUAGAUAUCUGGAGGAACACCGGUGGCGAAGGCGGCGUUCUGGACUGCAACUGACACUGAGGAACGAAAGCCAGGGGAGCAAACGGG
rnacentral:rRNA from 1 species